rnacentral:rRNA from 1 species
UAACACUAACUGGAGGACCGAACCGACUAAUGUUGAAAAAUUAGCGGAUGACCUGUGGCUGGGGGUGAAAGGCCAAUCAAACCGGGAGAUAGCUGGUUCUCCCCGAAAGCUAUUUAGGUAGCGCCUCGUGAAUUCAUCUCCGGGGGUAGAGCACUGUUUCGGCUAGGGGGCCAUCCCGGCUUACCAACCCGAUGCAAACUGCGAAUACCGGAGAAUGUUAUCACGGGAGACACACGGCGGGUGCUAACGUCCGUCGUGAAGAGGGAAACAACCCAGACCGCCAGCUAAGGUCCCAAAGUCAUAGUUAAGUGGGAAACGAUGUGGGAAGGCCCAGACAGCCAGGAUGUUGGCUUAGAAGCAGCCAUCAUUUAAAGAAAGCGUAAUAGCUCACUGGUCGAGUCGGCCUGCGCGGAAGAUGUAACGGGGCUAAACUAUGCACCGAAGCUGCGGCAGCGACACUAUGUGUUGUUGGGUAGGGGAGCGUUCUGUAAGCCUGUGAAGGUGUGUCGUGAGGCAUGCUGGAGGUAUCAGAAGUGCGAAUGCUGACAUAAGUAACGAUAAAGCGGGUGAAAAGCCCGCUCGCCGGAAGACCAAGGGUUCCUGUCCAACGUUAAUCGGGGCAGGGUGAGUCGACCCCUAAGGCGAGGCCGAAAGGCGUAGUCGAUGGGAAACGGGUUAAUAUUCCCGUACUUGGUGUUACUGCGAAGGGGGGACGGAGAAGGCUAUGUUGGCCGGGCGACGGUUGUCCCGGUUUAAGCGUGUAGGUGUGUGUUCCAGGUAAAUCCGGUUCACUUUAACACUGAGGCGUGAUGACGAGGCACUACGGUGCUGAAGCAACAAAUGCCCUGCUUCCAGGAAAAGCCUCUAAGCAUCAGGUAACAUCAAAUCGUACCCCAAACCGACACAGGUGGUCAGGUAGAGAAUACCAAGGCGCUUGAGAGAACUCGGGUGAAGGAACUAGGCAAAAUGGUGCCGUAACUUCGGGAGAAGGCACGCUGACACGUAGGUGAAGUGAUUUACUCAUGGAGCUGAAGUCAGUCGAAGAUACCAGCUGGCUGCAACUGUUUAUUAAAAACACAGCACUGUGCAAACACGAAAGUGGACGUAUACGGUGUGACGCCUGCCCGGUGCCGGAAGGUUAAUUGAUGGGGUCAGCGCAAGCGAAGCUCCUGAUCGAAGCCCCGGUAAACGGCGGCCGUAACUAUAACGGUCCUAAGGUAGCGAAAUUCCUUGUCGGGUAAGUUCCGACCUGCACGAAUGGCGUAAUGAUGGCCAGGCUGUCUCCACCCGAGACUCAGUGAAAUUGAACUCGCUGUGAAGAUGCAGUGUACCCGCGGCAAGACGGAAAGACCCCGUGAACCUUUACUAUAGCUUGACACUGAACAUUGAGCCUUGAUGUGUAG